GCAGAGGCUGCCCAGCAGACCUCAUUCUCCAUGCCACCUCCCCAAGAGAUGAUUGAAGAACUUUGAUCACCACGCCACGUUUGGUAGGGAAGUUCCUUCUGGAGGAUUUGUUCAAAGCCCUGGCUGUUGUAGGCCAUUACUGAACCCAUCUGAGAAUGUGAAAAAGAAAGGAGGAUGAAGGAAUGAAUAUUCUUGGAGUAUCAGUGCCUGGCAGUGUGUGAAUUGCCUAUCAUACAAAGGCCAGUUAAAAUCCUCCUAAAGGUGGGAGAAGCUGUGAUGCUACUCCAGUCCUACAGCUGAAGAAACUGAUCUAUGAUUUUAAAAGUUGCCCAGGAUGAUGCAUCAUCCAUGAAAAACCCAAAACAAAGGCCUGUGUUGUAAAUAUAUUUGAGUCCAGACCACAGGCUCCUCAUCUGUGAGGGAAGAAAGUCAGAGUUCUUGGAAGAUCCAGCUCACUUGACAUAUGAUGAGAACCUCCAGGGAGAAAACCUCCAUGCCUAAGGCCAGGAAAACGUCCCCAGUGUGAGCAGGCCUGGCACCCGUCCCUUGGCAGCAGCACUCUUUGGCCACUGGAUGCCAUCUGCUGCUGGCCCUCAGUGGUGCCCUGGGCCUUGCCAGGCAUGGGUGAAGACCAAGCUCCAUCACUCCUCCCAGAAAUGGUGGCCUCUGCGGGCAACGAGCCUGCUUGUCAGAGCCACCUGCUGGCCACCACACUGCAGCACCAAACCCCACUGACGCCGGAAGCCCAGGUUAACCUUCUGAGUCUUGGGGCAGGCCUGCAGCUUUGCCUCUUCUUGACUACCAGACAUUAGUGCCGCAGCAAAUUCACAGCUCCAGCCAUGAGCACGGCACAUUUGCCAGCAGACCCGGGUGCACAGGCAGCUUGUGUUGGGACUGCACAGCCAAUGACAGACGUCUGGAGCCCAUUGCACCUCCCCAGCCCCACAGGGAGCUGCCAGAGUGGCUCACAUAUGUGAGGCUUUGCCUCUCAGCCAUCACCCAUCUGCCCAGUCUCACUUGAGGAAAACCUGUCCUGGGAAAGUGACCUGACCCAGAAAAAUAAAGCCAUCGUCUUUAAGAGCAGCCUGCUGUCAUCCAACCCAAGCACGCCACUGUCUGUCCCCUGGACGUGUCUUUGCCCAGACCCACCAGCCAGCAACUCCAGCAAACAGAAAUGGGAUGCUCCUGGAAAGAGAGUGUGAGAGCAUCCCUUGGUCUGGUUAAUGUGAGCAACUUCCCUG
rnacentral:lncRNA from 1 species